GCGCUGGUGGUGAAAGGCGUAGCAUAGCUGACCGGAGCGCAGAAGGUGCGGGUUCGAGUCACGCCUGGCGCA
rnacentral:tRNA from 1 species